rnacentral:rRNA from 1 species
GACGAACGCUGGCGGCGUGCCUAACACAUGCAAGUCGAACGAGGUCCAAGGAAGCUUGCUUCCUGACGACCUAGUGGCGAACGGGUGAGUAACACGUGAGAAACCUGCCUCGGAGUGGGGAAUAACUCGGGGAAACUCGAGCUAAUACCGCAUAUCUUCACAUGAUCGCAUGGUCGAGUGAAGAAAGAAUUUCGCUCUGAGAGGGUCUCGCGGCCUAUCAGCUUGUUGGUGGGGUAGCGGCCCACCAAGGCAACGACGGGUAGCUGGUUUGAGAGAACGAUCAGCCACACUGGGACUGAGACACGGCCCAGACUCCUACGGGAGGCAGCAGUGGGGAAUCUUGCGCAAUGGGCGAAAGCCUGACGCAGCAACGCCGCGUGCGGGAUGACGGCCUUCGUGGUUGUAAACCGCUUUCAGCAGGGACGAAAAUGACGGUACCUGCAGAAGAAGCCCCGGCUAACUACGUGCCAGCAGCCGCAGUAACAC